CAGCAGCCGCGGUAAUACGUAGGUGGCAAGCGUUGUCCGGAAUUAUUGGGCGUAAAGGGCUCGCAGGCGGUUUCUUAAGUCUGAUGUGGAAGCCCCCGGCUCAACCGGGGAGGGUCAUUGGAAACUGGGAAACUUGAGUGCAGAAGAGGAGAGUGGAAUUCCACGUGUAGCGGUGAAAUGCGUAGAGAUGUGGAGGAACACCAGUGGCGAAGGCGACUCUCUGGUCUGUAACUGACGCUGAGGAGCGAAAGCGUGGGGAUCAAACAGGAUUAGAUACCCCAGUAGUCCCUGUCUCUUAUAU
rnacentral:rRNA from 1 species